GACGAACGCUGGCGGCGUGCUUAACACAUGCAAGUCGAACGCUGAACCCGCUUCGGUGGGGGAUGAGUGGCGAACGGGUGAGUAGCACGUGGGCAACCUGCCCCCGGCUCUGGGAUAACUCCAAGAAAUUGGGGCUAAUACCGGAUGUGACCGCUGGCCGCAUGGUCUGGUGGUGGAAAGGGUUUCCGGCUGGGGAUGGGCCCGCGGCCUAUCAGCUUGUUGGUGGGGUAGUGGCCUACCAAGGCGACGACGGGUAGCCGGCCUGAGAGGGUGACCGGCCACACUGGGACUGAGACACGGCCCAGACUCCUACGGGAGGCAGCAGUGGGGAAUAUUGCGCAAUGGGCGGAAGCCUGACGCAGCGACGCCGCGUGGGGGAUGACGGCCUUCGGGUUGUAAACCUCUUUCAGCAGGGACGAAGCGCAGGUGACGGUACCUGCAGAAGAAGCACCGGCCAACUACGUG
rnacentral:rRNA from 1 species